UGAAGUGCUGCAACUGUAGUCGCUG
rnacentral:miRNA from 1 species